rnacentral:rRNA from 1 species
AUUGAACGCUGGCGGCAGGCCUAACACAUGCAAGUCGAGCGAGCGGCGGACGGGUGAGUAAUGUCUGGUAAACUGCCUGAUGGUGGGGGAUAACUACUGGAAACGGUAGCUAAUACCGCAUACCAUCAGAUGUGCCCAGAUGGGCUUAGCUAGUAGGUGGGGUAAGGGCUCACCUAGGCGACGAUCCCUAGCUGGUCUGAGAGGCUGACCAGCCACACUGGAACGGAGACGCGGUCCGGACGCCUCCGGUGGGCAGCAGGGGGGAAUAUUGCACAAUGGGGGCAAGCCUGAUGCAGCCAUGCCGCGUGUGUGAGGAAGGCCUUGGGGUUGUAAAGCACUUUCAGCGAGGAGGCGUUACCCGCAGAAGAAGCACCGGCUAACUCCGUGCCAGCCGCCGCGGUAAUUC